UACGGAGGGUGCAAGCGUUAUCCGGAUUCACUGGGUUUAAAGGGUGCGUAGGUGGGUUGGUAAGUCAGUGGUGAAAUCCCCGAGCUUAACUUGGGAACUGCCAUUGAUACUAUUAGUCUUGAAUACCGUGGAGGUCGGCGGAAUAUGUCAUGUAGCGGUGAAAUGCUUAGAUAUGACAUAGAACACCAAUUGCGAAGGCAGCUGACUACGCGAGUAUUGACACUGAGGCACGAAAGCGUGGGGAUCAAACAGG
rnacentral:rRNA from 1 species